rnacentral:tRNA from 1 species
CAAAUUAGAGCUUGUUAAAGUUUUUUAUUUACAUUAAAAAGAAAAUUAUUAAUUUAAUUUAAUUU